rnacentral:rRNA from 1 species
GACGACGCUGGCGGCGUGCCUGACACAUGCAAGUCGGACGGUUCUUGCACCUUCAAGCUUGCUUGUUGGUUCAAGGAUAGUGGCGGACGGGUGAGUAACGCGUGAACACCUACCCAUUGGAGGGGUACAACCCGUCGAAAGGCGGGCUAAUACCGCGUAAGCCGUGAGGUGAAAGGCUGCUCUUUGGUGGCUGCCGAUGGAUGGGUUCGCGUCCUAUCAGCUGGUUGGUGGGGUAACGGCCUACCAAGGCUAAGACGGGUAGCCGGUCUGAGAGGAUGGCCGGCCACACUGGAACUGAGACACGGUCCAGACUCCUACGGGAGGCAGCAGUGGGGAAUCUUGGGCAAUGGGGGAGACCCUGACCCAGCGACGCCGCGUGAGGGAUGAAGGUUUUCGGAUCGUAAACCUCUGUUGUACGGGAAGAAGGAUGUGACGGUACCGUACGAGUAAGCCCCGGCAAACUACGUG